rnacentral:rRNA from 1 species
GCUGACGAGUGGCGGACGGGUGAGUAAUGUCUGGGAAACUGCCUGAUGGAGGGGGAUAACUACUGGAAACGGUAGCUAAUACCGCAUAACGUCGCAAGACCAAAGAGGGGGACCUUCGGGCCUCUUGCCAUCGGAUGUGCCCAGAUGGGAUUAGCUAGUAGGUGGGGUAACGGCUCACCUAGGCGACGAUCCCUAGCUGGUCUGAGAGGAUGACCAGCCACACUGGAACUGAGACACGGUCCAGACUCCUACGGGAGGCAGCAGUGGGGAAUAUUGCACAAUGGGCGCAAGCCUGAUGCAGCCAUGCCGCGUGUAUGAAGAAGGCCUUCGGGUUGUAAAGUACUUUCAGCGGGGAGGAAGGGAGUAAAGUUAAUACCUUUGCUCAUUGACGUUACCCGCAGAAGAAGCACCGGCUAACUCCGUGCCAGCAGCCGCGGUAAUACGGAGGGUGCAAGCGUUAAUCGGAAUUACUGGGCGUAAAGCGCACGCAGGCGGUUUGUUAAGUCAGAUGUGAAAUCCCCGGGCUCAACCUGGGAACUGCAUCUGAUACUGGCAAGCUUGAGUCUCGUAGAGGGGGGU